AGAAGCGCAUACGGUGGAUGCCUUGGCAGUCAGAGGCGAUGAAAGACGUGGUAGCCUGCGAAAAGCUUCGGGGAGUCGGCAAACAGACUUUGAUCCGGAGAUCUCUGAAUGGGGGAACCCACCUAGGAUAACCUAGGUAUCUUGUACUGAAUCCAUAGGUGCAAGAGGCGAACCAGGGGAACUGAAACAUCUAAGUACCCUGAGGAAAAGAAAUCAACCGAGAUUCCCUUAGUAGUGGCGAGCGAACGGGGAUUAGCCCUUAAGCUUCAUUGAUUUUAGCGGAACGCUCUGGAAAGUGCGGCCAUAGUGGGUGAUAGCCCCGUACGCGAAAGGAUCUUUGAAGUGAAAUCGAGUAGGACGGAGCACGAGAAACUUUGUCUGAACAUGGGGGGACCAUCCUCCAAGGCUAAAUACUACUGACUGACCGAUAGUGAACCAGUACCGUGAGGGAAAGGCGAAAAGAACCCCGGAGAGGGGAGUGAAAUAGAACCUGAAACCGUAUGCGUACAAGCAGUGGGAGCCUACUUGUUAGGUGACUGCGUACCUUUUGUAUAAUGGGUCAGCGACUUAUAUUCAGUGGCAAGCUUAACCGUAUAGGGUAGGCGUAGCGAAAGCGAGUCUUAAUAGGGCGUUUAGUCGCUGGGUAUAGACCCGAAACCGGGCGAUCUAUCCAUGAGCAGGUUGAAGGUUAGGUAACACUGACUGGAGGACCGAACCCACUCCCGUUGAAAAGGUAGGGGAUGACUUGUGGAUCGGAGUGAAAGGCUAAUCAAGCUCGGAGAUAGCUGGUUCUCCUCGAAAGCUAUUUAGGUAGCGCCUCAUGUAUCACUCUGGGGGGUAGAGCACUGUUUCGGCUAGGGGGUCAUCCCGACUUACCAAACCGAUGCAAACUCCGAAUACCCAGAAGUGCCGAGCAUGGGAGACACACGGCGGGUGCUAACGUCCGUCGUGAAAAGGGAAACAACCCAGACCGCCAGCUAAGGUCCCAAAGUUGUGGUUAAGUGGUAAACGAUGUGGGAAGGCUUAGACAGCUAGGAGGUUGGCUUAGAAGCAGCCAUCCUUUAAAGAAAGCGUAAUAGCUCACUAGUCGAGUCGGCCUGCGCGGAAGAUGUAACGGGGCUCAAACCACACACCGAAGCUGCGGGUGUCACGUAAGUGACGCGGUAGAGGAGCGUUCUGUAAGCCUGUGAAGGUGAGUUGAGAAGCUUGCUGGAGGUAUCAGAAGUGCGAAUGCUGACAUGAGUAACGACAAUGGGUGUGAAAAACACCCACGCCGAAAGACCAAGGGUUCCUGCGCAACGUUAAUCGACGCAGGGUUAGUCGGUUCCUAAGGCGAGGCUGAAAAGCGUAGUCGAUGGGAAACAGGUUAAUAUUCCUGUACUUCUGGUUACUGCGAUGGAGGGACGGAGAAGGCUAGGCCAGCUUGGCGUUGGUUGUCCAAGUUUAAGGUGGUAGGCUGAAAUCUUAGGUAAAUCCGGGGUUUCAAGGCCGAGAGCUGAUGACGAGUCGUCUUUUAGAUGACGAAGUGGUUGAUGCCAUGCUUCCAAGAAAAGCUUCUAAGCUUCAGGUAACCAGGAACCGUACCCCAAACCGACACAGGUGGUCGGGUAGAGAAUACCAAGGCGCUUGAGAGAACUCGGGUGAAGGAACUAGGCAAAAUGGCACCGUAACUUCGGGAGAAGGUGCGCCGGCUAGGGUGAAGGAUUUACUCCGUAAGCUNNNNNNNNNNAGAAGGCUAGGCCAGCUUGGCGUUGGUUGUCCAAGUUUAAGGUGGUAGGCUGAAAUCUUAGGUAAAUCCGGGGUUUCAAGGCCGAGAGCUGAUGACGAGUUNNNNNNNNNNCAAGGCGCUUGAGAGAACUCGGGUGAAGGAACUAGGCAAAAUGGCACCGUAACUUCGGGAGAAGGUGCGCCGGCUAGGGUGAAGGAUUUACUCCGUAAGCCCUGGCUGGUCGAAGAUACCAGGCCGCUGCGACUGUUUAUUAAAAACACAGCACUCUGCAAACACGAAAGUGGACGUAUAGGGUGUGACGCCUGCCCGGUGCCGGAAGGUUAAUUGAUGGGGUUAGCGCAAGCGAAGCUCUUGAUCGAAGCCCCGGUAAACGGCGGCCGUAACUAUAACGGUCCUAAGGUAGCGAAAUUCCUUGUCGGGUAAGUUCCGACCUGCACGAAUGGCGUAACGAUGGCGGCGCUGUCUCCACCCGAGACUCAGUGAAAUUGAAAUCGCUGUGAAGAUGCAGUGUAUCCGCGGCUAGACGGAAAGACCCCGUGAACCUUUACUGUAGCUUUGCACUGGACUUUGAGCCUGCUUGUGUAGGAUAGGUGGGAGGCUUUGAAGCGUGGACGCCAGUUCGCGUGGAGCCAUCCUUGAAAUACCACCCUGGCAUGCUUGAGGUUCUAACUCUGGUCCGUGAUCCGGAUCGAGGACAGUGUAUGGUGGGCAGUUUGACUGGGGCGGUCUCCUCCUAAAGAGUAACGGAGGAGUACGAAGGUGCGCUCAGACCGGUCGGAAAUCGGUCGCAGAGUAUAAAGGCAAAAGCGCGCUUGACUGCGAGACAGACACGUCGAGCAGGUACGAAAGUAGGUCUUAGUGAUCCGGUGGUUCUGUAUGGAAGGGCCAUCGCUCAACGGAUAAAAGGUACUCCGGGGAUAACAGGCUGAUACCGCCCAAGAGUUCAUAUCGACGGCGGUGUUUGGCACCUCGAUGUCGGCUCAUCACAUCCUGGGGCUGAAGCCGGUCCCAAGGGUAUGGCUGUUCGCCAUUUAAAGUGGUACGCGAGCUGGGUUUAGAACGUCGUGAGACAGUUCGGUCCCUAUCUGCCGUGGACGUUUGAGAUUUGAGAGGGGCUGCUCCUAGUACGAGAGGACCGGAGUGGACGAACCUCUGGUGUUCCGGUUGUCACGCCAGUGGCAUUGCCGGGUAGCUAUGUUCGGAAAAGAUAACCGCUGAAAGCAUCUAAGCGGGAAACUUGCCUCAAGAUGAGAUCUCACUGGGAACUUGAUUCCCCUGAAGGGCCGUCGAAGACUACGACGUUGAUAGGCUGGGUGUGUAAGCGUUGUGAGGCGUUGAGCUAACCAGUACUAAUUGCCCGUGAGGCUUGACC
rnacentral:rRNA from 1 species